rnacentral:rRNA from 1 species
GUUAUAUGGUCAAGCGAAUAAGCGCACACGGUGGAUGCCUAGGCGGUCAGAGGCGAUGAAGGACGUGGUAGCCUGCGAAAAGUGUCGGGGAGCUGGCAACAAGCUUUGAUCCGGCAAUAUCCGAAUGGGGAAACCCACUGCUUCGGCAGUAUCCUGCAGUGAAUUCAUAGCUGCUGGAAGCGAACCCGGUGAACUGAAAUAUCUAAGUAACCGGAGGAAAAGAAAUCAACCGAGAUUCCCUAAGUAGUGACGAGCGAACGGGGAGCAGCCCUUAAGCUGGAAUGGCUUUAGAAAAACAAUCUGGAAAGAUUGGCCAUAGAAGGUGAUAGCCCUGUAUUUAAAAGGGCCACUCCAGUGAAGACGAGUAGGGCGGGGCACGUGAAACCCUGUCUGAAUAUGGGGGGACCAUCCUCCAAGGCUAAAUACUCCUGACCGACCGAUAGUGAACCAGUACCGUGAGGGAAAGGCGAAAAGAACCCCGGAGAGGGGAGUGAAAUAGAUCCUGAAACCGUGUGCGUACAAGCAGUAGGAGCUCGCAAGAGUGACUGCGUACCUUUUGUAUAAUGGGUCAGCGACUUACUGUUCGUGGCAAGCUUAACCGUAUAGGGGAGGCGAAGGGAAACCGAGUCUGAUAAGGGCGCAUAGUCGCGGGCAGUAGACCCGAAACCGGGUGAUCUAGUCAUGGCCAGGGUGAAGGUGCCGUAACAGGUACUGGAGGCCCGAACCCACGUCUGUUGCAAAAGACGGGGAUGAGCUGUGAUUAGGAGUGAAAAGCUAAUCGAACCCGGAGAUAGCUGGUUCUCCUCGAAAGCUAUUUAGGUAGCGCCUCAUAUGUAUCCUCUCGGGGGUAGAGCACUGUUAUGGCUAGGGGGUCAUCGCGACUUACCAAACCAUUGCAAACUCCGAAUACCGAGACGGACUGUAUGGGAGACACACGGCGGGUGCUAACGUCCGUCGUGAAAAGGGAAACAACCCAGACCCACAGCUAAGGUCCCAAAUUCACUGCUAAGUGGAAAACGAUGUGGAAAGGCAUAGACAGCCAGGAGGUUGGCUUAGAAGCAGCCACCCUUUAAAGAAAGCGUAAUAGCUCACUGGUCGAGUCGGUCUGCGCGGAAGAUUUAACGGGGCUAAGCAGUGAACCGAAGCUUGGGGUGCAUAAAACGUGUUUUAUGCGCGGUAGAGGAGCGUUCCGUAAGCCUGCGAAGGUGGAUUGAGAAGUCUGCUGGAGGUAUCGGAAGUGCGAAUGCUGACAUGAGUAACGAUAAUGCGGGUGAAAAGCCCGCACGCCGAAAGCCCAAGGUUUCCUUGCGCAACGUUAAUCGACGCAGGGUUAGUCGGUCCCUAAGGCGAGGGCGAAAGCCGUAGUCGAUGGGAAGCAGGUUAAUAUUCCUGCACCUCGCGUGAGUGCGAUGGAGGGACGGAGAAGGUUAGGUGUACCGGGCGUUGGUUGUCCCGGGGAAAGGCGGUAGGUUUGGAUCUUUGGCAAAUCCGGGAUCCUUUAAGACCGAGCACCGAGACGAGCCUUUUUGGCGAAGUCACUGAUACCACGCUUCCAGGAAAAGCUCCUAAGCUUCAGCUCACGAAGACCGUACCGUAAACCGACACAGGUGGGUAGGAUGAGAAUUCUCAGGCGCUUGAGAGAACUCGGGUGAAGGAACUAGGCAACAUGGCACCGUAACUUCGGGAGAAGGUGCACCCUUUUUGGUGGCUCAUGCGAGCUAUAGCUGAAGAGGGUCGCAGAAACCAGGCCGCUGCGACUGUUUAUCAAAAAAACACAGCACUCUGCAAACACGAAAGUGGACGUAUAGGGUGUGACGCCUGCCCGGUGCUGGAAGGUUAAUUGAUGGGGUCAGCCGCAAGGCGAAGCUCUUGAUCGAAGCCCCAGUAAACGGCGGUACUGUAACUAUAACGGUCCUAAGGUAGCGAAAUUCCUUGUCGGGUAAGUUCCGACCUGCACGAAUGGCGUAACGACAGCGGCGCUGUCUCCACCCGAGACUCAGUGAAAUUGAAAUCGCUGUGAAGAUGCAGCGUUCCCGUGGCAAGACGGAAAGACCCCGUGAACCUUUACUAUAGCUUUACACUGAACGUUGAGUUCGUCUGUGUAGGAUAGGUGGGAGGCUAUGAAACUGUGGCGCUAGCUGCAGUGGAGCCAUCCUUGAAAUACCACCCUGUCGUGCUUGACGUUCUAACCUAGGUCCGUUAUCCGGAUCAGGGACCGUGUAUGGUGGGUAGUUUGACUGGGGCGGUCUCCUCCUAAAGAGUAACGGAGGAGCACGAAGGUACGCUCAGCGCGGUCGGACAUCGCGCACUGUGUGCAAAGGCAUAAGCGUGCUUGACUGCAAGAUCGACGGAUCAAGCAGGUACGAAAGUAGGUCUUAGUGAUCCGGUGGUUCUGUAUGGAAGGGCCAUCGCUCAACGGAUAAAAGGUACUCCGGGGAUAACAGGCUGAUACCGCCCAAGAGUUCAUAUCGACGGCGGUGUUUGGCACCUCGAUGUCGGCUCAUCACAUCCUGGGGCUGUAGUCGGUCCCAAGGGUAUGGCUGUUCGCCAUUUAAAGUGGUACGCGAGCUGGGUUCAGAACGUCGUGAGACAGUUCGGUCCCUAUCUGCCAUGGGCGUUGGAAGUUUGAGAGGGGCUGCUCCUAGUACGAGAGGACCGGAGUGGACGAACCUCUGGUGUUCCGGUUGUCACGCCAGUGGCAUUGCCGGGUAGCUAUGUUCGGAAGCGAUAACCGCUGAAAGCAUCUAAGCGGGAAGCGCGCCUCAAGAUGAGACUUCCCGGGGCACAAGCCCCCUAAAGGAACCAUGUAGACUACGUGGUUGAUAGGUCAGGUGUGUAAGUACAGCAAUGUAUUGAGCUAACUGAUACUAAUGAUCCGUGCGGCUUGACCAUAUAACCUCA